UGAACCGUUUGAUUCUAAAAAUUGAACUCAGCCAAUUAUGUUUUAAUUGUAUGUGCACAUGGAAGAAUGGCAGUUGUAUAAGACAAAACAGUAACAGUAAUUCAAGUAUACCUAAAUGGUAAUCAAAUGUCAAAACAUAAGAAGACACUAUGAUGUAGUAGUACAGCCUGUAGGUGUUAGAUUAAGCACUUAAACAAUAGAACAGAGAAGAAUAUAAGAGACCGAGGAGAAGAAAUAUAGAUCGAUAAGACGAGAUAAAGGGCAGAAACAGUAGAACAAAGAAGAAUAUCAGAGAUUGAGGAGAAGAAAUAUAGAUUGAAGGGAUCAGAGAGUUCUAGGAAAAGGUUUACUCAACAUUCAAAUCUGCAUUUUAAAGAACUACAUGGGGGUAUUUAUAGCAAACUAAAAGCUAGACAUAAUAGGAUAAAAAUCCCUUGCUUAAACAGAAAUCCUAACCAAUAAAAAAGGACACUUAAAACUAGAAAUUUGGAAAUCUAGAAAAGUUGAAAUCCUACUAGAAUUUAGAAAACUAGAGGAUCUAGGAAACUAACAAAUACAUUAGGAAACUAAUAAAUUGAGGUCCAACGCGUCCUACAUCAUUCUCCCCCGGCAAAAAGAACUCAAUUCCGACAAGUAAACAACCACAAAAUACAAAUUAAUAACGAUGACGCCGACUGAAAGUAUGAAUAAUAAGGGACGAGGGUCAGCAAUCAUCGAUGUUUGGAUCAUGGACACCUUCGAGAGGCUCCACAAUCUCACAAAGCUCACUAUCGGGAGUGUUGAUAGUUAAAGUUCCUUGCGGACAACGAGAGGCAAUAUGUCCUUUGGCAUGACAAUGGAAACAUUCAAUGCGAGCAUUAGUAGAAACAACCGGACCUUUGUUAGGUGGUGGUGCAGUAGGGUUAGAUGGUCUUGAAAACCCCGUAUGCAUACCUGUAGUGGGAAGAGUUUGGUCGGCGGUUGCAGGCUGGCCAGAAUACCCCAAAUGUUGAGGCUGCAAAUAUGCUUCAGCUUCCAAUGCGUGGCAAUAUGCAUCUUCCAAACAAUGAGGAUCAAACCGACAGACUUCAUGUUUAAUAUCGUCAUGAAGACCAUGGAUAAAGCGAGACACAGUGAUUCCUGGUUCUUCACGAAUCCCUGCACGUUUUUUCUGUUUAAUAAAACGAGCAUGGAAUUCAGUAACGGUCAAAUUUCCUUGGGAAAUGGUCCAUAAUUGAUCAAACAAUUGCUCUAGAUAAAAGGUGGGAACAUAUUUUUCGCGAAGCUUGAAUUUCAUCUCGUUCCAUAGAGUCACAGGCGGCCUUGCAAAUUGAUAGAGUUGCUCCUCCACGGAAUUCCAAUAUAAUCUAGUGGCUCCCCGUAGCGUCAUCUUACCAAUGCGAAGUUUAUGAGCAUCCGUCAAGUUGAACCAGUCGAAAUAAUCUUCCAUGGCUUGAACCCAAUCAAGAAACAUCGUAGGAUCUCCACGACCAUCAAAAGUAGAAGCGGUAGGCCUGAUGUGACGGAUGACAUUGUUGUCAAAAUGGCGAGGGAGAUGAGUGUACUGAUCAUGUGGAACGGGUGGCAUGUUAGGAGCCUGAGUAGUCGCUGGAGGAGGGCCCGCUGUGUGCUGGCUACAAUGGGGCGGCGACAUAAACCCAAAAGAAAAGAGGGGCUCCAAUUGAGCCUUGGGCGUGCCGAGCGAGAGACCGGUUGAGGUAUGCUGCAUGCCGUAUGGCACGGCCUUGAGUUUUUGAUCCACCGGUGGAUUGGGCAGAAUGCCACUUUUUGGCGGCGUAGACGAACUCGAGAGUGCUGCUGAGGUAGAAGAAGGCUACAGCCCGAAAGUGAUUGAUAAGCAUCUGAACAGAGUCUUGGAGUUUGUUGAUGGCAAGGUCUGUCGUCGCAAGAUGUUUUUGAACCUGUACCAACUCUUCUUUUUGUUCAGCGCUGAGCUUGGAGAGUUGGGUUUCAAUGCAGGUGAUAUCGUCAGAAACUUUGUCUUGGAACUCAUGACGUUGUUCCGCGAGGCUGGCCAUGGUUUGGGGUGCCAUGUCAAAGAGUAGACACAAGCGAAAUCGAGGCCUGGCUUUGGAUACCAAUUGAUGUAUUACAGCCCGUAGGUGUUAGAUUAAGCCCUUAAACAAUAGAAUAGGGAAGAAUAUAAGAGACCGAGGAGAAGAAAUAUAGAUCGAUAAGACGAGAUAAAGGGCAGAAGCAGUAGAACAAAGAAGAAUAUCGGAGAUUGAGGAGAAGAAAAAAUCGAAGGGAUCAGAGAGUUCUAGGAAAAGGUUUACUCAACAUUCAAAUCUGCAUUUUAAAGAACUACAUGAGGGUAUUUAUAGCAAACUAAAAGCUAGACAUAAUAGGAUAAAAAUCCCUUGCUUAAACAGAAAUCCUAACCCAAAUAAAAAAGGAAACUAAAACUAGAAAUCUGGAAAAGUUAAAAUCCUACUAGAAUUUAGAAAACUAGAGAAUCUAGGAAACUAACAAAUUU
rnacentral:lncRNA from 1 species